CUCAGGCUCUCAUUUUACAAUCAGAAAGCUCAGCAAUCAGCAGUAUAUAGUAGUGAGCAGAAGCAGAAAAAAGAAAGCACUGUCCCUGGAGGGAUUAAGCCAAGAGUGCCUGUAGCUUUUGUGGAGGUUUGAGGAAGCAUGUGUAAGGAACCAGGAAUGCUUUCUAAUAUCUAAGACACAUCAGGGUUGAGGGCAGUGAUUUUGAUGAAGGAUAACUGCUGCAUUUGGUAUGGUGAGUGAAUCAUACUUGGAUCAUUUGCAAAUUGUUUUCAGAGUCUUCUACCUAUUAUGAUUCAAGUGGGCCAAAGCUA